AACGAACGCUGGCGGCAUGCCUAACACAUGCAAGUCGAACGAGACCUUCGGGUCUAGUGGCGCACGGGUGCGUAACGCGUGGGAACCUGCCCUUAGGUUCGGAAUAACUCCCCGAAAGGGGUGCUAAUACCGGAUAAUGUCUUCGGACCAAAGAUUUAUCGCCUUUGGAUGGGCCCGCGUUGGAUUAGCUAGUUGGUAGGGUAAAAGCCUACCAAGGCGACGAUCCAUAGCUGGUCUGAGAGGAUGAUCAGCCACACUGGGACUGAGACACGGCCCAGACUCCUACGGGAGGCAGCAGUGGGGAAUAUUGGACAAUGGGCGAAAGCCUGAUCCAGCAAUGCCGCGGGAGUGAUGAAGGCCUUAGGGUUGUAAAGCUCUUUUACCCGGGAUGAUAAUGACAGUACCGGGAGAAUAAGCUCCGGCUAACUCCGG
rnacentral:rRNA from 1 species